AAAAACAUGUCUUUUUGGUUAUUUAAUAUAAAGUCUAACCUGCCCACUGAAUUUUAUUUUGAAGGGCCGCAGUAUUUUGACUGUGCAAAGGUAGCAUAAUCAUUAGUCUUUUAAUUGAAGGCUGGUAUGAAUGGUUGGAUGAGGUACAAGCUGUGUCAUAAAAAUUAUUAAUUGAAUUUAACUUUUUAGUCAAAAGGCUAAAAUAAAAUUAAAAGACGAGAAGACCCUAUAGAGCUUUAUAUAGUGAUUAUUUAAUUUAUUAAGAUUUAUUAAAUUUAAUUAUUUUAUUAUAUUUUGUUGGGGUGACAAUAAAAUUUAUAAAACUUUUAUUAUUAAUUCACAUUUAUUUAUGAUUUUAUGAUCCAGUUUUAUUGAUUAUAAAUUUAAGUUACCUUAGGGAUAACAGCGUAAUUUUUUUUGAGAGUUCAUAUCGACAAAAAAGAUUGCGACCUCGAUGUUGGAUUAAGAGUAAUUUUGGGUGUAGAAGUUCAAAGUUUAAGUCUGUUCGACUUUUAAAUUCUUACAUGAUCUGAGUC
rnacentral:rRNA from 1 species